rnacentral:rRNA from 1 species
UACGUAGGGGGCGAGCGUUGUCCGGAUUUACUGGGCGUAAAGGGCAUGCAGGCGGUCGGACGCGUUUUGUGUGACAGCGGGUGGCUCAACUGCCCGAGCAUACGAAAGACGGUUUGACUUGAGGGCUCGAGAGGGACACGGAAUUCCGGGUGGAGUGGUGAAAUGCGUAGAGAUCCGGAGGAACACCGAAGGCGAAGGCAGUGUCCUGGCGAGUGACUGACGCUGAGGUGCGAAAGCCAGGGGAGCGAACGGG